UAAUAUCUUUUUAAACUUCAGGUGUGCUCAAUGCUUUCAACCAUUUCCAGAAGGAAGAUUUUUUGAGUUUGAAGGCAGGAAGUACUGUGAACAUGACUUCUGUGUACUGUUUGCUCCAAGCUGCGGCAAAUGUGGUGAAUUCAUUAGUGGUAGAGUCAUCAAGGCCAUGAAUGCGUCCUGGCAUCCGGAAUGUUUCCGCUGCUUCUGUUGUGC
rnacentral:sRNA from 1 species